GUGCUUNNNCAUGCAAGUCGAACGGUAAGGCCCUUCGGGGUACACGAGUGGCGAACGGGUGAGUAACACGUGGGUGAUCUGCCCUGCACUUCGGGAUAAGCCCGGGAAACUGGGUCUAAUACCGGAUAGUACUGCGCGGUGCAUGCCGUGUGGUGGAAAGAUUUAUCGGUGCAGGAUGGGCCCGCGGCCUAUCAGCUUGUUGGUGGGGUAAUGGCCUACCAAGGCGACGACGGGUAGCCGGCCUGAGAGGGCGACCGGCCACACUGGGACUGAGACACGGCCCAGACUCCUACGGGAGGCAGCAGUGGGGAAUAUUGCACAAUGGGCGCAAGCCUGAUGCAGCGACGCCGCGUGAGGGAUGACGGCCUUCGGGUUGUAAACCUCUUUCAGCAGGGACGAAGCGCAAGUGACGGUACCUGCAGAAGAAGCACCGGCCAACUACGUGCCAGCAGCCGCGGUAAUACGUAGGGUGCAAGCGUUGUCCGGAAUUACUGGGCGUAAAGAGCUCGUAGGCGGUUUGUCGCGUCGUCUGUGAAAACCAGCAGCUCAACUGUUGGCUUGCAGGCGAUACGGGCAGACUUGAGUAUUUCAGGGGAGACUGGAAUUCCUGGUGUAGCGGUGAAAUGCGCAGAUAUCAGGAGGAACACCGGUGGCGAAGGCGGGUCUCUGGGAAAUAACUGACGCUGAGGAGCGAAAGCGUGGGUAGCGAACAGGAUUAGAUACCCUGGUAGUCCACGCCGUAAACGGUGGGCGCUAGGUGUGGGUUUCCUUCCACGGGAUCCGUGCCGUAGCUAACGCAUUAAGCGCCCCGCCUGGGGAGUACGGNCGCAAGGCUNAAACUCAAAGGAAUUGACGGGGGCCCGCACAAGCGGCGGAGCAUGUGGAUUAAUUCGAUGCAACGCGAANAACCUUACCUGGGUUUGACAUACACCGNAAAGCCGUANAGAU
rnacentral:rRNA from 1 species